CAGCAGCCGCGGUAAUACAGAGGGUGCGAGCGUUAAUCGGAUUUACUGGGCGUAAAGCGUGCGUAGGCGGCUUCUUAAGUCGGAUGUGAAAUCCCUGAGCUUAACUUAGGAAUUGCAUUCGAUACUGGGAAGCUAGAGUAUGGGAGAGGAUGGUAGAAUUCCAGGUGUAGCGGUGAAAUGCGUAGAGAUCUGGAGGAAUACCGAUGGCGAAGGCAGCCAUCUGGCCUAAUACUGACGCUGAGGUACGAAAGCAUGGGGACCAAACAGGAUUAGAUACCCCCGUAGUCCCUGUCUCUUAUAC
rnacentral:rRNA from 1 species